GAGGAUAUAGCUCAGCGGUAGAGUGCAUGCUUAGCAUGCAUCAGGUCCUGGGUUCAAUCCCCAGUACCUUCA
rnacentral:tRNA from 1 species